UACCUUCUGUGGUGUAGUUGGUAGCACCUUGGCACAGCAAUUAUGUGUCGUGGGUUCGAGUCCCAGUCAGGGUAA